rnacentral:lncRNA from 10 species
AGGGGAUGGGAGGGAGGGGAGGGGAGGGGAGGAGAGAGGAGAGGGAGCCAUUGAGGGAGACCUGAGGUGGGGUCUGAGUCAUUGGCAACGUGGUGGCUGAAGUUCUGAUCCCAGAGAACAUCACUCACAGAGACCCCACCGAGUGAGACUAUCAAGAAGCCAGCCCAGGAUCCUGGGAACAGCGCGCAGAAGCUGCAGGCUAACGUCUGGAGGGGAGAGGGAAGAGGCAGGGUAGAAGGCUUUGAGGCAGAAUGUGCUGAGAGUGUCCUGAGCAGCGACAGGCGAAAACAUGCCAGCAUUACCGAGAAUUUAGUGGAGAGUGACGGCAACCCCGUGGAUGAAACACAAACAAGAAAGGCAACGUCAGCAGGAACAUGGAGAAGGAUGUCUUCGAGGGAGAGUGGGCAGACUGGGUUCGUGGGGGCAGAGCCUGGGGUUGUUGAGGACUGUGUGAUGUGGUGCUCACGGUGCAAAUGAGGAAGGAGCAGGCCUGGGCCAUCCGGGUGGGGAGAGUGGGAAGGAAGAUCAGUGAGGAGAUACACAACCUGAUUGAAAAGCCCAAGCCCCAUGUUUCUUUUCUGUCCUUGGAAUAGGCAAGUUCAAGAAAGAGAACCAUUCAGUGAAAGAGCAUUUCUACCAGCAGGUCUAGCAUAGACCCGAUGUGCAUCCUGUAGCCUCAAGCUGUGAAGAAAGCUGCCAUCAGCCCUCCCUGAUGUGGGGUGCUGGCGGUCUGGGCUGAGCCACCAAUGCACCAGACACACCCUGGCCCAAAGUGCAUUGCUACGAGCCUCUCGCAUUCUUCUGCUUCAAACAGGACCCAGGAGUACAGACUGAAGCAUUCGCCACCUUUAUUUACAGAACAGAUUUUGUCCAGCUUAGGAGUCAUCAUCUAAUAUAGGAAGAAAACAUCUUAUUACAAAGUAGAAUUUCCCUGGAGACUCUCAGUCCCCGUAAAGGUGGUGGUCCUAAGGAGCAAUAGAGACGUAACUUCAGCAUCAGCACUUUGACCUCCUUAGGAAAGCUGCUUGAGAGAGUCCAUAUUCGGGUAUAAAACUUUCAUGGACAAAUUUAAGGAAAAUGGAAAACUAUUUCUAUUUGUGGCUUCCUUACCAAGAACUUUCUCCUUUACAAGAAAAUGACUGCAUUCUGAUGGGAUUUCUGUGUUAAUAGUGAGACAAAAGUAUAAUCACCAUUUUUCAGAGACCCCCUGUGGACUUUGACAACGAGGUACCAUGGGAGAUGGGCU